UACAGAGGGGGCAAGCGUUAUUCGGAAUUAUUGGGCGUAAAGCGCGCGCAGGCGGUCUCUUAAGUCUGAUGUGAAAUCCCGUGGCUUAACCACGGGCGGUCAUUGGAAACUGGGGGACUUGAGUGCAGAAGAGAAGAGCGGAAUUCCACGUGUAGCGGUGAAAUGCGUAGAGAUGUGGAGGAACACCAGUGGCGAAGGCGGUCUCUUUGGUCUGUAACUGACGCUGAGGCGCGAAAGCGUGGGGAGCGAACAGG
rnacentral:rRNA from 1 species